rnacentral:ncRNA from 1 species
UUGUCGAAGGCUCUAAAUCAAAUCCUCUGAUAAGACCCGAAAAAUGGUGAACUAUGCUUGCGUAGGUUAAGCCAGAGGAAACGCUGGUGGAGGACCACAGCGAUUCUGACGUGCAAAUCGAUCGAUCGAUCGCCCCUAUCGAUUGUGAGUAUAGGGGCGAAAGACUAAUCGAACCAUCUAUUAGCUGGUUCCCUCCGAAGUUUCUCUCAGGAUAGCUGGCACUCAUUCACAAGAUCAGUUUUAUCCGGUAAAGCGAAUGAGUAGAGGAACCGGGUUCGAAAUGAGCUCAACCUAUUCUCAAACUUUAAAUGGGUGAGAUGCCCGGCUCGCUUUGUAGGAGUCGAACGCUAAAUGUGCGAGUGCCAAGUGGGCCAUUUUUGGUAAGCAGAACUGGCGCUGUGGGAUGAACCAAACUUGGAAGAUUUGGGGGGAAUGCCAUCUUACGUUACACACACUUCGAAUUUCGACAGCAAAUGCUGAU